rnacentral:rRNA from 1 species
UAGGGAAUCUUCCGCAAUGGACGCAAGUCUGACGGAGCAACGCCGCGUGAGUGAAGAAGGAUUUCGGUUCGUAAAACUCUGUUGUUAGAGAAGAACAGCGCAUAGAGUAACUGUUAUGCGUGUGACGGUAUCUAACCAGAAAGCCACGGCUAACUACGUGCCAGCAGCCGCGGUAAUACGUAGGUGGCAAGCGUUGUCCGGAUUUAUUGGGCGUAAAGCGAGCGCAGGCGGUCAAUUAAGUCUGAUGUGAAAGCCCCCGGCUCAACCGGGGAGGGUCAUUGGAAACUGGUUGACUUGAGUGCAGAAGGGGAGAGUGGAAUUCCAUGUGUAGCGGUGAAAUGCGUAGAUAUAUGGAGGAACACCAGUGGCGAAAGCGGCUCUCUGGUCUGUAACUGACGCUGAGGUUCGAAAGCGUGGGUAGCAAACAGG